AGCAGAUCAUGGCUUUUAUGGGUUUGGAAGCAGCCCUAGCUACUGUCAUCCAUGCCUUUGUUCUCCUCUGACCAAAUUGCUGAGGAAUACUCACAGGAUGAGGCAGCUGGGAGGUGCUGGGGAGUAAACAGUGCAGAGAGCAGCUGGCAUUACCACCUGGAAAACUGAUAGAUGAGCGGCCUUUGGACAGAUUUAGCUUGCAGAGUCUCAACUGUAGUAUAAAUUCUCAGUUUUAGCAAAAACAUCUGCAAUAGCAUGGAGCUUAGAUGCUGGAGAGGCCUGUUCCUGCCCUUGACUUUGUGUGUGCAUGUACGCUGUAUGGGAACUGUUGAGUAACAGCCUGAACCACUGAUUGAGCACCUGAGGAAAGGACUGAGCCAGCCGUGGGAUCACAGGCUAUGGUAGCAAGAGACAAGGAACACUGUGUCCAUCUGUCCAUCACAGAUGAAGGUGGGGAGGACUCUAAGACAAUGCAGAGAUUAAAGGAACUUCUCCCAAGAAGUUAAGAGAGUGCCUUAACAGUUAAGAGAAACACAUCCAAAGUGACCGCGGAGUGAAGGAGGAUGUGAAAUCUUUGCCAUCAUCCUGCAGAGGAUGGAUGAGGGGACCCUGAGCACACAUGAAGUGCAGGUCUGGAUUAGCUGAUCCAAUUAGAGGUAGCUGAAGAUCCCUCUGGUCUGCAAGUAGCCAUGGAAGAUGAUUUCAACCACACCUGAAUUAUCCUACACUCAAAAGAAAGAAUACACAGGUGUAACAGGAGACUCAGCAUGCAUGCCUCCAACCACUAAGAUCAAGCCUAUCAACUACAUUAUAGAAGAGUUUACUUUUGCUGAAUUGUUAUGUUCUGUUUUAGAGGUAUCUUUUCAUCACUGAAGAACACAUCAAAAGAUUUUAGACUUUGACAUUCUUAUCCAGGAUAUGUUUCACAGUCUUUCAUCAGCCACUGAAGCUGGAUUAGCACCAGAAAAUUUUUAACACACACUGUAUGUGCAGAGAAGAGACCAAGGGACCUUUGGCUUACAAAGAAUCUAUAAAAUGUGAUUAUUAAUUUCAAGGUAUCACACAUUUAAAAUAGAGCUCUUCAGCAUUCUUUAUAACUAAAAUAAUGAACUGAUGAAGAGCUGAUGAAGAGCCUGCCUGAAGAUAAUGUCAGAACCCACAAAUAAAAUAACUCACAUAACAACUGAGAUGGACUCAUAAAAACUUCAGAACAGAAAUGAAACCCUGAUUUUCAAUUUAAUCUCCAAACAGUACACUUGCUUCAAUUUACAGUGUAUUAGAGGAGUGGGUAAAAUUAGUCUUUAAAAUCUUCCAUUCCAUUACAGAAAUGGGAAAUAAAAUGUUUACUGGUUUGCAGUUCAGAAGUGAUGGAUGCACGCUAGGCCUCUUCUUAGUAUGUACUGGGCUGUUUUCAAGAAAUGCACAUAAUCUGGAAGCAAAGCUGACAAAACUAUGUUACUGAAAUUGCUUUGAUUCAAACACUGCAAAGGCUGUUUGUAUACUUGAAGAAGUCAGAGCUGGAUGGUGGAGUUUUAACUACUAAAUUUUCCAGUUCUCAUCAUCAGUAUUAGAUGGUGUAUUUAGUCCUAAAGCACGGUUAAAUAUUCCUGGAAAUCUCGGACGAUCCUGUGCUGCAGCUGAAGCCACAGAACACAUCCAGCUCAUGAAAUGAGCUACUCUGCGUUUAAAAAUGGCAAUUUUUGAGAAGUGAAAUCCCUAAAAUUCUUGAAAUAGUUUGUUGAAAUUCUCUGAAAUAUUUGUUUGAAAAUAACGUUGCUGCAUGUAGAAAAUGGUUGCAAAACUGCUCUAAUUUUGAAAUAGCAACACAUUCUAAUGUAUCCAUAUUGCACACAAUUGCCUUUUAUGAGAAGGCUGUAAGAGCAUGACAAAAUUAAUAAUUUCAAUGUUUCAAGAAUUAAUUUAAAAUACAUUUUGCAAGGUUCUUUUAGCUAUUUGUAUAUAUUUUUUUCAUUACAGCAUUACAUCAGAACAUUAAAGAUUCUACCAGAAAGGUGAAAAAGGAAAACAGUUGUGCAAAAUCAGAAUAUAAUGUGAGCUUAUGGUUGCUCUGUGAUUCACUGUAAUGCAUUAUUAAUCCAUAUGUUAGUAAAAUAAAAUAUUUUGAAAAUUGUGA